CAUAAACUUAAUUCCUGCUUUCCC
rnacentral:piRNA from 1 species